rnacentral:rRNA from 1 species
GUGGUUAGGGGUGAAAUGCCAAUCGAACCCGGAGCUAGCUGGUUCUCCCCGAAAUGUGUUUAGGCACAGCGGUUGUGUACCUUGUAGAGGGGUAAAGCACUACUUCGCUGCGGGCUGCGAGAGCGGUACCAAAGUGACGUAAACUCAGAAUACUCUGCAAGCAUCAGCCAGUCAGACGGUGGGGGAUAAGCUUCAUCGUCGAAAGGGAAACAGCCCAGACCACCAGCUAAGGUCCCAAAAUGAAUGCUAAGUGAUAAAGGAGGUGGGGGUGCUUUGACAACCAGGAGGUUUGCUUAGAAGCAGCAAUCCUUGAAAGAGUGCGUAAUAGCUCACUGGUCAAGCGCUCCUGCGCCGAAAAUGAACGGGGCUAAGCAUUCUACCGAAGCUGUGGACUACUACGGUAGUGGUAGGGGAGCGUUCUAUAUAGGGUGAAGCACUAGCGGCAAGCAGGUGUGGACAGUAUAGAAGUGAGAAUGUCGGCUUGAGUAGCGAAAACAUAUGUGAGAAUCAUAUGCCCCGAAAUCCUAAGGUUUCCUCCGGAAGGCUCGUCCGCGGAGGGUUAGUCAGGGCCUAAGGCGAGGCUGAAAAGCGUAGUCGAUGGACAACGGGUUAACAUUCCCGUACUGAUUAAAGAUUGUGGCGGGGGACGGAGAAGGUUUAGUAUUAGCCGGAUGAUGGUUACCGGUGUAAAGCCACGAGGUUAUGAGGAACGGAGAAAACGUUCUGAGCUAAGUGCUGAGUCCAAGGAGCUACGGCUCUGGAGUAAUACGAAUCAUACUUCCUAGAAAAGCCCGGACCACGUUAAUUUUUAAUCACCUGUACCCGAAACCGACACAGGUAGGAAGGUAGAGAAUACUAAGGGGCGCGAGAUAACUCUCUCUAAGGAACUCGGCAAAAUGACCCCGUAACUUCGGGAGAAGGGGUGCCUGCUUAACGGCAGGUCGCAGUGAAUAGGCCCAAGCGACUGUUUACCAAAAACACAGGUCUCCGCUAAGUCGCAAGACGCAGUAUGGGGGCUGACGCCUGCCCAGUGCCGGAAGGUUAAGGAAGUUGGUUAGUUUCGACGAAGCUAGCGACCGAAGCCCCGGUGAACGGCGGCCGUAACUAUAACGGUCCUAAGGUAGCGAAAUUCCUUGUCGGGUAAGUUCCGACCCGCACGAAAGGCGUAACGAUUUGGGCACUGUCUCGGAGAGAGGCUCGGCGAAAUAGGAUUGUCUGUGAAGAUACGGACUACCUGCACUUGGACAGAAAGACCCUAUGAAGCUUUACUAUAGCUUGGAAUUGUGUUCGGGCUUCCCUUGCGCAGUAUAGGUGGGAAGCGUAGAGAUUUUCCUCGUGGGGAAAAUGGAGCUAACAGUGAGAUACCACUCUAGGGAGGCUAGAAUUCUAACUUCUAUCCGUUAUCCGGAAGAAGGACAGUUUCAGGUGGGUAGUUUGACUGGGGCGGUCGCCUCCUAAAAAGUAACGGAGGCGCGCAAAGGUUCCCUCAGGCUGGUUGGAAAUCAGCCGAAGAGUGCAAAAGCAUAAGGGAGCUUGACUGCGAGACCUACAAGUCAAGCAGGGUGGAAACACGGCUUUAGUGAUCCGACGGCACCGCGUGGAAGGGCCGUCGCUCAACGGAUAAAAGUUACUCUAGGAUAACAGGCUGAUCUCCCCCAAGAGUUCACAUCGACGGGGAGGUUUGGCACCUCGAUGUCGGCUCAUCGCAACCUGGGGCUGUAGUAGGUCCCAAGGGUUGGGCUGUUCGCCCAUUAAAGCGGUACGUGAGCUGGGUUCAGAACGUCGUGAGACAGUUCGGUCCAUAUCCGGUGUAGGCGCAAGAGCAUUGAGAGGAGCCUUCCUUAGUACGAGAGGACCGGGAAGGACGCACCGCUGGUGUACCUGUUAUCGUGCCAACGGUAAACGCAGGGUAGCCAAGUGC